rnacentral:rRNA from 1 species
UACGAAGGGGGCUAGCGUUGCUCGGAAUGACUGGGCGUAAAGGGCGCGUAGGCGGCUUGCACCGUCAGAUGUGAAAUUCCUGGGCUUAACCUGGGGGCUGCAUUUGAUACGUGGUUGCUUGAGUGGGGAAGAGGGUCGUGGAAUUCCCAGUGUAGAGGUGAAAUUCGUAGAUAUUGGGAAGAACACCGGUGGCGAAGGCGGCGACCUGGUCCUUGACUGACGCUGAGGCGCGAAAGCGUGGGGAGCAAACAGG